rnacentral:rRNA from 1 species
CAAUAGCGUAUAUUAAAGUUGUUGCAGUUAAAAAGCUCGUAGUUGGAUUUCUGCUGAUCGCUGUCGGUCUGCCGUCAGGUGUGUACUGGCAGUGUUUGGCAUCUAUUCGAGAUUGGGUGUCCACUUGAUUGUGUGCACUCGAUGUCGGAGCUAAUACUUUGAGAAAAUUAGAGUGUUCCACGCAGGCGCGUGCCUUGAAUACUGCAGCAUGGGAUAUUGGAAGGCCGAUUGAGCUUUCUUGUUGGUUCUCGGUUUGAUCGGAAUGAUUAAUAGGGAUAGUUGGGGGCAUUCGUAUUCAACUGUCAGAGGUGAAAUUCUUGGAUUUGUUGAAGACGGACUACUGCGAAAGCAUCUGCCAUGGAUGUUCUCAUUGA